rnacentral:lncRNA from 1 species
GGAAUGGCCUGGGCUCUCCAGAUUGAAACUUCUCACUCUUCACUUUCAGACCUUGAGCCGCAGUAAAGCAGUUAUCGAGUGGCAUUUAGAGUGGUCCAUACAGGAGCAGGCACUGCUGAAUGCACACACUACAUGGGUGAGGUUUUGCAGUGGGAGGGAUGUGGAAGGAAGAUGAGUCAGGUGGCCAGGAGCAGCUGAGGACCAGUGACAGCCCUUCCUAACUUCUGUGCCCAUUCUUGCAGUUGAAGGAGUCGCUUAAACAAAUCCGGCUAGAGAGAGAUGAAUAUGCUCAACAUAUAAAAGAAGAGAGGGCCCAGUGGCAGCAGAGGAUGAGGAAAAUGUCGCAGGAGGUGAGAUCUGGCCCUUCAACCCCCCCACCUUAGAUAAGUCACUGGAUCUUUCUGGGCAUCUGUAAAAUGGGAAUAGUACAGCCAGAGGUGGUCCUGGGUCUGGGCUUUGUGGAGGUGGGGGCAGAGAGGGAGAUGGCAGCCUGUCCAGCCACCAGCCCCUCUCUCCAGGGCUCUUUCCCCCUGUGGUUUGGGCAGGUUCACACAUUGAAGAAGGAGAAGUAUGAAACACAUCGGGGAGAGAAGCUGGAGAGGAGCUUGUCCAAACUCAAAAACCAGAUGGGUAAGACGGGGCUGGCAUGACCUGGGAGCAGGACUGGCAUCAGAGGGCUGUGGGAGUGGCUUAGAAUGCCCCAGGGAGGUGGGUCGAUGGAAGGGCUUUGAGGCAGAAGGAAAGAGGUCUGUGCCAGAGACAGCAAGUCUUGUCAUCUCCAUGAUCCUCAGUGUCCCCAUCAGCAAAGAGGGCCCAUUGUCAGCCACCCACAGUGCUCUCUAUCUGAAAGUGGCUUGGAAGAUUGGCUACCAUCUGGGUGUGAGGAAUCAGUAGCAGAGAGGCCAAGUUCGGGGAGCCUGAGAGGAGCUGUGCACCAAGAGGAGGGUUUUUCUUUUGUUUGUUUUUUUGAGAAUCCAGAGGCCUUUAUUGUCUGCUUCCUUUCUCAGCUGAACCCCUGCUCCCGGAGCCUCCAGCAGUGCCCUCUGAGGUGGAGCUGCAGCACCUGAGGAAGGAGGUUGAGAGUGGCAGCAGAACUCCAAGCCCAGGUGGACAACAAUAAGCGCAUGAGUGUCCUGAUAUUGGGGCAAAAGAAGAGGCUUCAGGAGCAGGAUGAGAGGCUUCGGGAGCAGGACGCGAGGCUUUGGGAGCAGGACGCGAGGCUUCAGGAGCAGGAUGAGAGGCUUCGGGAGCAGGACGCGAGGCCUCAGCAGCUGGCCGAGCCACAGAGUAGCUUCGAGGAGCUGAACAAGAACAAAAGUGCACUGCAGUUGGAGCGGCAAGUAGAGGAGCUGCAGGAGAAGCUUGGCGAGGUGAAGGAGACAGUAACCUCUGCCCCAUCCAAGAAGGGCUGGGAGGCGG